GACGAACGCUGGCGGCGUGCCUAAUACAUGCAAGUUGAGCGCUGAAGGUUGGUACUUGUACCAACUGGAUGAGCAGCGAACGGGUGAGUAACGCGUGGGGAAUCUGCCUUUGAGCGGGGGACAACAUUUGGAAACGAAUGCUAAUACCGCAUAAAAACUUUAAACACAAGUUUUAAGUUUGAAAGAUGCAAUUGCAUCACUCAAAGAUGAUCCCGCGUUGUAUUAGCUAGUUGGUGAGGUAAAGGCUCACCAAGGCGAUGAUACAUAGCCGACCUGAGAGGGUGGUCGGCCCACUUGGGAAUGAGACCCGGCCCAAAAUCCUAAGGGAGGCAGCCGUAGGGAAUCUUCGGCAAUGGACGGAAGUCUGAACGAGGAAAGCCGGGUGAGUGAAGAAGGUUUUCGGAUCGUAAAACUCUGUUGGUAGAGAAGAACGUUGGUGAGAGUGGAAAGCUCAUCAAGUGACGGUAACUACACAGAAAGGGACGGCUAACUACGUG
rnacentral:rRNA from 1 species